rnacentral:rRNA from 1 species
AAAAUCCAUGUAAUUUAUGAGUCGCGCGUUGUCAUUUAUGAAUUAACUGUUAGACUCCUCCGAUUUGUCGCAAAGCUUGACGAUGGCACCGAGCGUCAAGUUGCCGAGCAUGAUAUUCAGUUUGAGGUUAACAUGAAACAUUUUAUGGUUGAAGAAAUGGUCGAACUCAUUCGGUCCAAAAUUGUUUGGGGAAGUAGGCAAGAGGUACAUAUUUUGUGCCAAGACAAGCACUUUGAAUCAGUUGAGAGGAUCGAUAAUUAUUGGAAGCUACUGACAGCUUUUCUUGAGAGAUGGAAAGAAAAAAAACUGCUAGUGCUAGCUCAAGUUGUGGACAUUGCAAAUGGGGUUACAGCAUCAUAUUGCUCUGAAAAUAUCCCAUCUAGUGAGAUUGUGGACAAUAUUAUCUGCUCAAGUUCUGACGUUUACCAGUCAAAUGCAAGUAGUGCAACAUGUGUCGACAUUCUACAACUGGUAAUUUUCUUAUUAGCAAUUCGAGAUAUAUGCAAUCUGAUGGUGAAGUCAUUGAUUGGUCCACUAUUGCGAUAA